rnacentral:tRNA from 1 species
GGUAUGUGGCUCAGCGGUACAGCGCAGGCCUAGCAUGUGCGAGGUCCUGGGUUCGAUCCUUAGCACCA